rnacentral:rRNA from 1 species
CCUACGGGAGGCAGCAGUGAGGAAUAUUGGUCAAUGGACGAGAGUCUGAACCAGCCAAGUAGCGUGAAGGAUGACUGCCCUAUGGGUUGUAAACUUCUUUUAUAUGGGAAUAAAAUGUUCCACGUGUGGGAUUUUGUAUGUACCAUAUGAAUAAGGAUCGGCUAACUCCGUGCCAGCAGCCGCGGUAAUACGGAGGAUCCGAGCGUUAUCCGGAUUUAUUGGGUUUAAAGGGAGCGUAAGUGGAUUGUUAAGUCAGUUGUGAAAGUUUGCGGCUCAACCGUAAAAUUGCAGUUGAAACUGGCAGUCUUGAGUACAGUAGAGGUGGGCGGAAUUCGUGGUGUAGCGGUGAAAUGCUUAGAUAUCACGAAGAACUCCGAUUGCGAAGGCAGUUCACUGGACUGCAACUGACACUGAGGCUCGAAAGUGUGGGUAUCAAACAGGAUUAGAUACCCCAGUAGUC